rnacentral:rRNA from 1 species
GUUGAACGCUGGCGGCGUGCUUAACACAUGCAAGUCGAACGAAGCACUUUAACCUGAUUCUUCGGAUGAAGGUUUUUGUGACUGAGUGGCGGACGGGUGAGUAACGCGUGGGUAACCUGCCUCAUACAGGGGGAUAACAGUUAGAAAUGACUGCUAAUACCGCAUAAGACCACAGAGCCGCAUGGCGCGGUGGGAAAAACUUCGGUGGUAUGAGAUGGACGCGCGUCUGAUUAGGUAGUUGGUGGGGUAACGGCCUACCAAGCCAACGAUCGGUAGCCGACAUGAGAGAGUGAGCGGCCACAGUGGGAGUGAGACACAGCCCAAACUCCUACAGGAGGCAGCAGUGGGGGAUAUUGCCCAAUGGGGGAAACCCUGAUGCAGCGACGCCGCGUGAGCGAAGAAGUAUUUGAGUAAGUAAAGCUCUAUAAGCAGGGAAGAAAAUGACGGUACCUGAAGAAGAAGCACCGGCUAACUACGUG